rnacentral:tRNA from 1 species
AAGGCACUAGUAAAACAGUAAUAACACUGCCUUGUCAAGGCAGAGUUGUGGGUUAAAACCCCGCGUGCCUUG